AUUGAACGCUGGCGGCAUGCCUUACACAUGCAAGUCGAACGGCAGCACGGGUGCUUGCACCUGGUGGCGAGUGGCGAACGGGUGAGUAAUACAUCGGAACGUACCUUAUCGUGGGGGAUAACGCAGCGAAAGCUGUGCUAAUACCGCAUACGCCCUGAGGGGGAAAGCGGGGGAUCGCAAGACCUCGCGCGAUUAGAGCGGCCGAUGCCUGAUUAGCUUGUUGGUGGGGUAAAAGCCCACCAAGGCGACGAUCAGUAGCUGGUCUGAGAGGACAUUCAGCCACACGGGGACUGAGACACGGCCCAGACUCCUACGGGAGGCAGCAGUGGGGAAUUUUGGACAAUGGGGGCAACCCUGAUCCAGCAAUGCCGCGUGAGUGAAGAAGGCCUUCGGGUUGUAAAGCUCUUUUGUCAGGGAAGAAACACCGGCUCUAACACAGUCCGGGAAUGACGGUACCUGAAGAAUAAGCACCGGCUAACUACGUGCCAGCAGCCGCCGUAA
rnacentral:rRNA from 1 species